UAUACGUUGCAGCCAAUCACCGGGGGAAAUCCACGCACCCUUGGAAGACCCCAUGGAGAACCCCGCACGGAGUGCGGAGAAAACCAAGAGAACGGGAGAUACACGACGAAGACCUUGAAGAUAACAUACAGACCUACUUAUCACCGAUACUUAGAGUGUUAAUUCAUCCGCUAGUGAAUGAACCAAGAUCUACAAAAAGACCAGCAUCAUCAUCUGAUGAUGAAAAAGGGAACAGUUUACUGCAAACAAUUCAAAAGAUAAAAAAAAAUAAAACCGAAAAAAUAAAACUCAAAAACAAAAGAAGAAGCCAAGAAAGUAAAGCCAAAAUCCUCAGAUAUAACCUUUCAACUUGGAUGGUUGCAUUAUGACACCAAAAGGAGAGAGUAUAUUCAAGUACGAUCUAUCAAAGGAAGUGGGUCCCCUACUCUCCGGCAGGGAAGGCAGUCUUCCAAAAAAGACAUACUUUUGGUGGCAAAAGAUACUUUUUUCCCCAUGGCAACUCUAAACUAGGAUUACUGAAAAACAUGACCACACAUUUGGCCGAUUUCAGGGCGAAAGCAAUAACCGAUUAGGAUUGGACCCUUGAAAGUGUAGCUGAUGCAGGUGUUAAAAUAAGGUUGUACCUAUGUACCAAGUUAAAGGAGGUUGAAACCUAUGAAAUUAGUGAUACCGACAGCAGCGACUUACCAGAUCCUGGCUUAUCUGCUUUUGUAGAUACCUCAGCUCAAGAUUUUUUUUAAAUCAGGUAAAGCAACAGAAUAUGAAACAUUAUCAUCAGACGAAACUGCUACCAGUAUUUCAUUCCUUCCUGGAGGAACCCCCACAGUAUGUAUAUUAUAUUUAUUGAUCUUUGGAACUGAGUAUCAAAAGCAGCCAAACUUAUGUCUGUCCCAGGAAUUUUUUUUUCUUUACUUUGUCAGAAAUUUGCUUUCCCGAAUUCUGAAAAGUAUUAAGGUAAUAUAAAUAAUAAACUACUGCUCCAUUCAUUUAAAAAUAUGAUGAAAGUGCAAUUUAUAUAUGCUGUAUAUAACACCAGAAACAUGUUAUCCAUAAAGUGCAAAUUCAUUAGAAGUACACAAAAGUAUGUAUAAUAAUAUGGUUCAAAUUAUGACUGGCAUUGAUCACUAAAAUUAUUAUCAUUAGAAGAUUUAUACGGUAUCUUCAAAAUAACUAUUUAUGUUCAUAUGUAGAAAAAAUAAAGCACAGGUCACUGUCACUGACAACACAAAUUAUUGCUCCCAGAGAAAUUGGUGUAUAGAUCUACGGAGUAACGUAUAAUGUAGCCUAAUUAAUAGUGCUACUGUAGUAGGCCUACUUAGAACUACAGACGCAUAAAUUUUAUGUGUACAUCUCAACUGAAUUAAAUGGGAAAAAAAUACAUUCUUAUUGAAAUUUUCAAAAAGGAGGGCUAGCAUUUCAUUUAAUGAUAAUAGUAAUAAUUAAUGAAAUUAAUAAUAACAAUAAUAAUAACAACAAAAACAACAACCAACAUCAAUAAUUUUAUAAUGUUAAUAAUAAUGAUAAAUAAUGAUUUAUAAUAAACAUAAAACAUCAUACGUUUUAAAAGACACUCUUUUAAGGUCAAAUGAUAGUUGUUUAUAUUAUGUCUUUUUAAUUUAGUACCAGUACCAAUUUAUUAUGCUAUUUUCUUUCCAUUCAUACAGGUUCUUUUGAAGAAAUUUCCUCAAGGAACAUGUGAAAUAUGUUGUGAUCGCCAAAAAACAGUUUGUUUGUGCCAUGUGGCCAUACUAUUUGUCUGCCAUGUAGCACGUACAUUGAAGAAAGCCCAACCAAAGAAUGCCCAUUCUGCAAUCAAUUCAUUAGUGCAGUGAACGGUUUUUACUAAAAGUACCUGUAUUAGUCUAUGCUGUUGAAUGAUUUUUUUUUGAGUUUUUAAUGUUUUAUUCAAAUAACUUUUUUUUAAACCACAUUUAUAACUAAAUUAUCUGUUUAAGUCUUCAUUAUUUUGAACAAAAAAAAUUAAAAUUACACAGUGGCGCUUAGUUGUCUUGCAAGUCAGAUUAAACUCUCUUCUGACUUUGUCCUGGACAAAAUAUGUGAACAUCGCAAACAAUUUAAGCUAAAAUUAUUUGUAAUGUGCCUUUUUCUCUUUACAAACCAUAUAGUGCAAAAUUAUUGUGCUUUCCUAUAUUGCUUUUAGAAUUAUUGCAAUCAUUAAAUGGUUAUGAACAAAAUAAUGUUUAUUUUCAUGAACUAAAGCUAAUUUUAAAAACAACUGUGCUUUCAUGUCUACCUACAACUUUAUUUACGAUUUUAAAUGAUGGGUUUUAAAAAGUAUGUGUAAAUAAUUUGACUACAUAAUAAACUAACAAUAAAGACACCUCAUAAUAUUUUAUAUAUUUGAACAAGAUUUAUGAACAACAAUUUUUAUUGCAUGACGAUUUAACUGAGAUUUAUUGUUAUCAAAUAUACCAAAAAACCUUUCCAUUUGUAUGUGAGACAAUUUGAUUUUGUUGCAGACAUUAUGGAUUAAAAAAAAGGAAAAAAUAAAAUAAAACAAAGAAUAAAACAGGUUUUUUUUUAAAAUGUUAAAAUUUUUAUACGUAUAAACAUGUUAUUAAAUAGUUUACAAAACGUUUUAAUUUCUCCUUUGAGUUGUGUUCAUAUUUUAAGUGAAAAAAGCCAUUUAAUAUGAGCCAACAAAUUUUGCAGUAGCUGAAAAAAAAUAUGUUUGUAUUUAUUAGUUAACUCAAGGAAAACAUGUUAUAUUACCAAGAGAAUGCCUUGAGUGUAUUGCUGUUAAGUGAGAUUGAGGAAGAUUUAUACUCUGGUGACAUUAAAAAUAAUACAAGAGGAAAUU